UUCUUGUUGUAGGCUUAUUGUUUCUUAUCCACAUUGGGGGAAAAGCUCGGUGUCAUCAUCCACAUCACAAAAAGAAUCUUAUCAUCGACGCGUCACAUAAGUAGCAACGACUACAGUUAACUAGGUGAAAUUGUUUGCUUUCCUCUGCUCUUAAGCUUUCACUCACAAUGAAGCCAAGCAAAAAAAAUUCCAAGACUAAACCUUGCAUUAUAUGCGAUCGCAAUCCUUCUCCCAAAGAUGUGGUUUUUCACAAUAUGAUUUUUUGUAAUACAUGCAAGAUUAAAUAUGCACAUAUUGAUUGCAUUAAACUUAAUAGCAAAAUACUUGCUAAAAAUUGGAUGUGCAAAGCAUGCCAACUUAAGGGUCGUGCACAAGGAUCAACUUCAAUAUAUAAGGAAAAGGCUGUCACAAAAGGGAAAGUGAAGUUCAUUGCCAAAGAAGAAGUUUGUCGCAUUAUGCUUCGUGAUUCUUUUAAGUACAGGUGUAAACAAGUCAAGUCGAGUCAAGCCUCUAAAAUUUAAGCUUGACUUGUGCAAAAAAUAAAGUUUCUCAAACUUGACUCAUUUAUUUGAAAGAGCUUAACUUAAAGUUUAGUUUGACUUGUUAAAAAAACAAAAGAUAAAGAUUGUGUUUGACUUGUUUGGCU